UACGGAGGGUGCAAGCGUUAUCCGGAUUCACUGGGUUUAAAGGGUGCGUAGGUGGGCAAGUAAGUCAGUGGUGAAAUCUCCGGGCUUAACCCGGAAACUGCCAUUGAUACUAUUUGUCUUGAAUACUGUGGAGGUCAGCGGAAUAUGUCAUGUAGCGGUGAAAUGCUUAGAUAUGACAUAGAACGCCAAUUGCGAAGGCAGCUGGCUACACAAAUAUUGACACUGAGGCACGAAAGCGUGGGGAUCAAACAGG
rnacentral:rRNA from 1 species